rnacentral:lncRNA from 1 species
CAUCUUUCACGCUUCCAAAGGAUACGUAAGACGCAGAAAUUAACAACUAUAGGACACCUUCAACAAUGAGUAAAACCCAUACUGCAUAGUCAGCUAUAUAAAGCCUCGAAAUGACAAACGUAAAACAAUUCAAACGAAAAAACUAACGACCUAAUUGAUGUACAAAAUAAUAAACGAAAAACAAAACUGUAACACAGCAACAA